rnacentral:tRNA from 1 species
GAUUGGUGGGCCACUGGUGUGGUGCACGGUCUCCAAAACCGCGCUCGGGGAGUUCGAUCCUCUCACCAUCAGC